GAAACGCGAAAUGUAAUGUGAAUCGCAACUAACAGUGAAUCAUCGAAUCUUUGAACGCAGGCCGCACUUUGCAGCAUCACUCCGUGUUGCCGCAAGGUAUUUACGUAUGAGUGUCAGCCAAAUAACCUUUUGGUUCAUGGGGGUGAUUUGACAUUGUCUUGUCUAACUCGUGAAUACACAGAUGUCAAGAGACAUAUCUCUCUGAAACAUGAUCGUGUCUGGCCUCAUAUGUGAAAGGUUACCCGCUGGAUUUAAGC
rnacentral:misc_RNA from 1 species